CCGCGGUAAUACGGAGGGUGCAAGCGUUAAUCGGAAUUACUGGGCGUAAAGCGCGCGUAGGCGGUUUGUUAAGUCAGAUGUGAAAUCCCCGGGCUCAACCUGGGAAUGGCAUUUGAGACUGGCAGGCUAGAAUGUGGUAGAGGUGAGUGGAAUUCCAGGUGUAGCGGUGAAAUGCGUAGAGAUCUGGAGGAACAUCAGUGGCGAAGGCGACUCACUGGGCCAUUAUUGACGCUGAGGUGCGAAAGCGUGGGUAGCAAACAGGAUUAGAUACCCUGGUAGUCCACGCCCUAAACGAUGUCAACUAGGUGUAUGGAGAAUUUAUUCUUUGUGUAUCGAAGCUAACGCGAUAAGUUGACCGCCUGGGGAGUACGGUCGCAAGACUAAAACUCAAAGGAAUUGACGGA
rnacentral:rRNA from 1 species